AUCUUGUUUUCUUGAAUUUGUUGAGGCACUGUGGAUUUCAUUUGUGUAGCGCACUGUGGAAUUUCCAAAGCAAUUUCUAUGAAGUUAGGAGUUGAUUCUUUUGAAUGUAUCGGGAGUUAAUCAGUUGGUGGACAAGGGUCAUCAGGGUGUUUUAGGGGUCAAGAGAUCGAGUUCUGAGAUGAUGGAGAGAGGGGAUGGAGUUUAAGAACCGUGCAUAUGGUCGUCUCCUGAAGGGGGAAAAGGUGAAGUUGAACCUGGAAAACGGAUCUUCUGCAAUAGGGUAUUGAAUAUGAGAAGUGUCAAAGCUGUCGGCCUUGAUAUGGAUUACACAUCGGCACAAUACAAGCCUGAAACCUUUGAAAAACUUGCGUACGAAGGAACAAUCAAAAAGUUUGUGGGCAAUCUGAUAGCUGUUGGAAUGGAAAUUUGAAUGGAAAUUUAAAACAUGGUCAGAGGAUUGGUUCUAGAUAAAAAGAAAGGCAACAUCUUGAAGAUGGAUCGUCAUAAAUACGUUAAAGUGGCAUACCAUGGAUUUACAGAGUUGAGCAAGGAAGAGAAAGUUAACACCUAUGGGAAUACUCUGAUAAGGAAUGCUUUCGAUUGGCCAGAUUAUGUGCUUGCUGAUACUCAUUUCUCAUUAGCUGAAGCCUAUAUGUUUGCCCAGCUUGUUGAAUUUAUGGACAAAUGCCGAGAAAGAGUAGUAGAGAACAUAAGUGAGGAUAAGUCCAUAGUUCCAAUGCUCAAAAUGCUCAGAGAUUCUAAACGUGCAACGUUCUUGGUAACAAACAGGCUCUGGAUGUUGGGGAUCAUAUCUAUGGAGAUAUUUCACGCAGCCAAAAAGUUCUUGGUAUUGAGUUCUUUGUUAUCUUCGGUAGCCUUCGAAGUUAAUAUGGACUGGUUGUGAAUUGUCAUACUGAACACGACAGCCCUCGAAGCAGUCUUUGAAUAGGGAACGAAUGAAAAUAGAAGUUGGCGGCACAUGCUAUCUCCAAUUCCUCUCUUGAAAGUCAUGAAUUCCUACUUGCACCCCAAUGCCUGUCAAUUGCUGUCUCUUAAUUAGAGGUUGGAGAACAAUGCUUAUUGUUCCAGAGCUUGAGAGAGAGAGGUCAAACUGCUUUGGGAACAGAGGAACUCAAACAAGGGAUGGAGUAAAAAUCACACCAACAGCCUCAACGAGAACGUCAUCAAAAGUUUCACAACGUCUGGGGACAACUCAUGAGGACUGGCUACCAAAACUCUCGCUUUGCACAUCAAGUUGAGAGAUUUGCCUGCCUUUUUACGAUUUUGGUGGUGACUGAUGUUUUGGGCCUUCAGACUUUCCUUGGCAAUCAGAAGAACUGCUCACCGAAGUGAAGAAUAGAAUGUUGAGGGGAAGGACCAUUUCUAAUUUGGCUUUUAAAAGACCUAGCAUUGCAGGGUGGAAGAUAAGUAACCUCUACUGUCGCCGGGUGUGCCACGACGUUGUCGGUAAUAACGAGGCUUUUAUCGUGCUUUCUAAUAAGAUGAUAGAGUGAAGUAUGAGGCAACCUUGUGGAGGAGAAGAAACUACUGUCAUUGGCCUGACGUGAGGUGGGUGGAAAUGUUGGUGGAAGAAAUGAUAGUGGUGCUGGUUACUUGUGGUAGAGGAAGAAAAAAAAAGAAGAAAAUCUGCAAAGGAAAGAGGAAGGAAUUCGCAAUGACUGCCUUUAUUGCCGAUAAGGAGAUGAAUUUGUAGGGAGGAUGAACUACUGUUUUUCAUGGGAUGGAGAAGGUUGUGGUGGCAAAGAAGCAACAGGGAGAGAGAGAAAAAAGAGAGAAUCAUCGGCUGGAAAAACAAAGAAGGCUAAUUUUUGGCUAAAUUUUGACUUUAUUUUCUUUAUAUUGGGGCCAUAAAAUUCACCCUUAUUUAUAGAAUGUGAAAGAGAAUAAUCUUUUUUAUACAAGGGAAAAAUUCCAGUCAUUGAUUCGGUUGGGAAUAAUCUCAACAAUUGGUUUAAAGUAGGCACCACGAACUAUCAAAUCUGACAAUUCAAGGUUACAUGAGUUAGCCUUUUUAAGCCAGUGUCACGGUUGUUGUGAUGUUACUAGAGGAUAAAAUGAUAUCAGGUGACCAUUUUAGUUUAUAUUUUGUUAAUUUUGGUGGAUAUACGAGGUAUUAAAUGCACCUAAAAUGUAGUCAUUUGGGCAACAUUCUUUAGCAAAAAUCA